AUUGAACGCUGGCGGCAGGCUUAACACAUGCAAGUCGAACGAGUGGCGGACGGGUGAGUAAUGCUUGGGAAUCUGGCUUAUGGAGGGGGAUAACGACGGGAAACUGUCGCUAAUACCGAGUACCAUAGGAUGAGCCCAAGUGGGAUUAGGUAGUUGUUGGGGUAAUGGCCUACCAAGCCGAAGAUCUCUAGCUGGUCUGAGAGGAUGACCAGCCCAACCGGGACUGAGGCACGGCCCGGACUCCUCGGGGAGGCACCGGAGUGUAAUAUUGCGCAAUGGGGGCAACCUGACGCAGCCAUGCCGCGUGAAUGAAGAAGGCCUUCGGGUUGUAAAGUUCUUUCGGUGACGAGGCGUUAAUCACAGAAGAAGCACCGGCUAACUCCGUGCCAGCAGCCGCGGUAAUUC
rnacentral:rRNA from 1 species